GGUGCCUCAGUGAAGUUCCUCCAAAAAGGAAAAAAAAUUCUGUUUGCAAGGAGGUUUAUGGUUUAUGGUUGAAGCCGAUUCCCGAGAUGGAAGAUCUUCCCUUAGCUUGAAGGACUCAUUCGUUUGUUGAAUGAUUUGUAUUGGUUGUUAACAAUGUCGUGGUUUCGAGUUGCUCGUGCUUCGCGUAGGCUUCAGAGACCUUCUCUCUUUUCCUCCUCACUCUCUCUCUCUCGCUCCAUCUUGAAUCCCUUACGGGCUUCCUCUCACCCAACACCAAACCCUAACCCUGAUUAUCAUAACCCGUUCAGGCAGUACUACCGGUACACUCCCAUUUCCGACUUGUCCCGCGAUAAUUUGAAAUUGGAUUGGUGGGGUUAUAAGUCGGUUGCGCACAUUUCGACGAGCGUGAGGGAGAGUUCGAAUAGUGAGGAGGAUAAGGAUGGAGGGUCUGGACUGCCCAAGGCGGAGGUGUCUUGGAUCGACUUGUAUUUGCCGAAACAAGCUCGCCCUUAUGCUCGUCUCGCUCGCCUCGAUAAGCCCAUUGGGACCUGGCUGCUCGCUUGGCCUUGUAUGUGGUCAAUUACCUUGGCAGCGUCGCCAGGACAUCUCCCCGAUGUUAAGAUGUUGCUGCUUUUUGGUUGUGGGGCUCUGCUUCUAAGGGGUGCUGGAUGUACCGUAAAUGACCUCCUUGAUCGUGAUAUUGAUACCAUGGUGGAACGUACAAAGUUGCGACCAGUUGCAAGUGGUCUUUUGUCACCAUUUCAAGGGCUUUGUUUUCUUGGGUUUCAAUUGCUUUUGGGUCUUGGGAUUCUGCUUCAAUUAAAUAAUUAUAGCCGUAUUUUGGGGGCUUCAUCCUUGUUGCUAGUCUUCUCCUAUCCACUGAUGAAGAGGUUGACAUUUUGGCCUCAAGCCUAUCUAGGUCUGACCUUUAACUGGGGUGCUUUAUUAGGGUGGGCUGCAGUUAAAGGAAGUCUGGAUCCAGCUAUAGUGUUUCCAUUGUACAUUUCUGGAGUAUUUUGGACUCUUGUGUAUGAUACGAUAUAUGCACAUCAGGAUAAAGAAGAUGAUUUGAAGGUGGGUGUUAAAUCUACAGCUUUGAGAUUUGGAGAUUCGACUAAGCAGUGGAUUACUGGGUUUGGAAUUGCAUGCAUUAGUAGUCUUGCCCUCAGUGGAUUUAAUGCUGGGCUCGGGUCGCCAUAUUAUGCAUUUCUGGCAGCUGCAUCUGGACAAUUAGCUUGGCAGAUACGGACAGCUGAUCUAUCAUCCCGUGCUGAUUGCAAUCGAAAAUUUGUGUCCAACAAGUGGUUCGGUGCAAUUAUUUUCAGUGGGAUCUUAUUUGGAAGGCUUUCGUCAUAGUGGUACGGUUACCAUUUCUAGAACAGAUGAGACAUGACAGAUUACAAACCCGAGUAUUCCCAGCUCAUGUCACCGUGAUUACAUGAUUCCAUUGAUUAAUGUCCUUUUUGAGGCAUCACUUGUGGAAAAGAAGGCUUCCAGAUUGAACAAGGAUGAAGGGCUGAUUGGUGUGGGGGUGUUGGCCUUUUAUUAAAUAACUGGCUUUGAAGGCAAUGCUCUUGUAUUUCUCAUAUUAUUUGCUAGAGGUUGGUUUUGUGUGGUUUUUUUUUUUUUUUUUAAUCAGUAGUUUGAUGUUUCUGUUGAGGAUAGGAUUAAUGUUAUUGUAAUACCCUUUCCUUUUAGAGUAUGGAUUUUGUUGUAAGAGUCGUUUUUGCAGAAAAACACAGAUAAAGGGGUAAAAGUUGUACCUUAACAUUAUUUUUCCUAUUACAUGGUUAAGGAGGUUCAAUCCAACAAACCUCCACGUUUUUGUUUUGUUCUCGAAAGAUUAGUACAU